AGUAACGCGUGGGUAACCUGCCUCAUACAGGGGGAUAACAGUUAGAAAUGACUGCUAAUACCGCAUAAGCGCACAGUGCUGCAUGGCACAGUGUGAAAAACUCCGGUGGUAUGAGAUGGACCCGCGUCUGAUUAGCUAGUUGGUGGGGUAACGGCCUACCAAGGCGACGAUCUGUAGCCGGCCUGAGAGGGUGAACGGCCACAUUGGGACUGAGACACGGCCCAA
rnacentral:rRNA from 1 species